UACGAAGGGGGCUAGCGUUGCUCGGAAUCACUGGGCGUAAAGCGCACGUAGGCGGAUUGCUAAGUCAGGGGUGAAAUCCUGGAGCUCAACUCCAGAACUGCCUUUGAUACUGGCGAUCUUGAGUCCGGGAGAGGUGAGUGGAAUGCCGAGUGUAGAGGUGAAAUUCGUAGAUAUUCGGCGGAACACCAGUGGCGAAGGCGACUCACUGGCCCGAUACUGACGCUGAGGCGCGAAAGCGUGGGGAGCAAACAGG
rnacentral:rRNA from 1 species